rnacentral:rRNA from 1 species
UACGAAGGGGGCUAGCGUUGUUCGGAUUUACUGGGCGUAAAGCGCAUGUAGGCGGGUCGUUAAGUUGGGGGUGAAAUCCCGAGGCUCAACCUCGGAACUGCCUUCAAAACUGGCGACCUGGAGCGUGAUAGAGGCGAGUGGAAUUCCGAGUGUAGAGGUGAAAUUCGUAGAUAUUCGGAGGAACACCAGUGGCGAAGGCGACUCGCUGGAUCAUUGCUGACGCUGAGAUGCGAAAGCGUGGGGAGCAAAC